UGUGUAUCUGCACUCUCCAGUCUGGACCAGUCACCAAACCACCUGUUGACUUCUCUACUCACCUGAGAGUCAUCCCACUAUCAACUCCUGCAGUUCACUUCCGGUGAUACACUUGCUGAAGCCUCGUUGAAUUAGUCACAUUCAUGGAGGUAACAGCUGGCAGGCACCACCACACUGUCACACUGGACUGUAAUCCAGGAGGGCUGUGAACAGAGAUUGAAUAUGUGGGGGAGAUGGUUACAUGCAGGCUGUGACUGCGUCAUCCACUACUGAUGUGCCGAUCGGGAACGAGUCGGCCCAGCUCCCAUC